rnacentral:tRNA from 1 species
GUUUUAAUAGUUUAAAUAUAAAAAUAAUGAUCUUGUAAAUCAUAGUUAGGGUGACCUUUAAAACU